UGACAGUGUAAGGCGAAGCUAAUAGUCUUUAGUUCGUUCGAAACGUUACGUCAUGUGUUCCUGACGUUCCGCAAAAUAAUUUCAUAUUAAUAAUGAUAAAAUAAAUUAAUCUUUAUCUAAAUUAUGAUCCACCAGAAACCAGAUCUUAUAAAGUGCAAACAAUAGAUAAAAGUCAUCCCGAAGGUUAGUCGAGGCCACAAAAUAAAUCCGCAGUUUGGGUCACGAACUCAGUGGACAUGAGUCAUGGUACAAGGAAGAUCUAGAGGCUAUGGCGUCAGCAACGCCUGAGCAGCCGGCGACGCUUCUCACGUUUCACCGCUUAACAUCUAAUCAUCAGCGCAGAUAAGAUAUCAAUUAACGACGUAAUUAUUUAUUAUUCCAAAAAAAUAAAUAUAAUACAUGUACCA